UACGUAGGGCGCGAGCGUUGUCCGGAAUUAUUGGGCGUAAAGAGCUCGUAGGUGGCUUGUUGCGUCUGCCGUGAAAGCCCGUGGCUUAACUACGGGUCUGCGGUGGAUACGGGCAGGCUAGAGGCUGGUAGGGGCAAGCGGAAUUCCUGGUGUAGCGGUGAAAUGCGCAGAUAUCAGGAGGAACACCGGUGGCGAAGGCGGCUUGCUGGGCCAGUUCUGACGCUGAGGCGCGACAGCGUGGGGAGCAAACAGG
rnacentral:rRNA from 1 species